CUAACGAAUAAGGGGUGGCCAAGUUCUGGUGUCAGCCGCCGCGGUAAAACCAGCACCUCAAGUGGUCAGGAUGAUUAUUGGGCCUAAAGCAUCCGUAGCCGGCUCUGUAAGUUUUCGGUUAAAUCUGUACGCUCAACGUACAGGCUGCCGGGAAUACUGCAGAGCUAGGGAGUGGGAGAGGUAGACGGUACUCGGGAGGAAGUGGUAAAAUGCUUUGAUCUCUCGAUGACCACCUGUGGCGAAGGCGGUCUACCAGAACACGUCCGACGGUGAGGGAUGAAAGCUGGGGGAGCAAACCGGAUUAGAUACCCGGGUAGUCCCAGCUGUAAACUAUGCAAACUCAGUGAUGCAUUGGCUUGUGGCCAAUGCAGUAUUGCAGGGAAGCCGUUGAGUUUGCCGCCUGGGAAGUACGUACGCAAGUAUGAAACUUAAAGGAAUUGGCGGG
rnacentral:rRNA from 1 species